AACAUUAGCGUCUAGACGAUAACAGAUAGAAUGGCCGCGGCGAUGGAGGAUUGUCCCCUGAUGAGGCCGCCAUUCUAGCUGUUGUCGUUAAGGCGCUAAAGU
rnacentral:pre_miRNA from 1 species